rnacentral:rRNA from 1 species
GAUGAACGCUGGCGGCGUGCCUAAUACAUGCAAGUCGAACGGAAAGGCCCUGCUUUUGUGGGGUGCUCGAGUGGCGAACGGGUGAGUAACACGUGAGUAACCUGCCCUUGACUUUGGGAUAACUUCAGGAAACUGGGGCUAAUACCGGAUAGGAGCUCCUGCUGCAUGGUGGGGGUUGGAAAGUUUCGGCGGUUGGGGAUGGACUCGCGGCUUAUCAGCUUGUUGGUGGGGUAGUGGCUUACCAAGGCUUUGACGGGUAGCCGGCCUGAGAGGGUGACCGGCCACAUUGGGACUAAGAUACGGCCCAGUCUCCUACGGGAGGCAGCAGUGGGGAAUAUUGCACAAUGGGCGGAAGCCUGAUGCAGCAACGCCGCGUGCGGGAUGACGGCCUUCGGGUUGUAAACCGCUUUCGCCUGUGACGAAGCGUGAGUGACGGUAAUGGGUAAAGAAGCACCGGCUAACUACGUG